AGAGACGAGUGUUUUCAUACUCAUUGCGAUUUAGUUCUUCAAGUUUCAUCACUUUAUUCACUCUUUGUGGACCUUGAAAGACCCCAUUUUGAUUGUUAUCUCAAUCUCAAUCUACUAUCAGCAAUCAC